rnacentral:tRNA from 1 species
GGACAAGUAGUUUAGUAGUAUAACAUACACUUCACAAAUGUAAAGGUCCGGCGUUCAAUUCGCCUUUUAUCCA